AAUAGAUACCCGGGUAGUCCACGCCGUAAACGAUGAGUGCUAAGUGUUAGAGGGUUUCCGCCCUUUAGUGCUGCAGCUAACGCAUUAAGCACUCCGCCUGGGGAGUACGGCCGCAAGGCUGAAACUCAAAGGAAUUGACGGGGGCCCGCACAAGCGGUGGAGCAUGUGGUUUAAUUCGAAGCAACGCGAAGAACCUUACCAGGUCUUGACAUCCUCUGCCAACCCUAGAGAUAGGGCGUUCCCCUUCGGGGGACAGAGUGACAGGUGGUGCAUGGUUGCCGUCAGCUCGUGUCGUGAGAUGUUGGGUUAAGUCCCGCAACGAGCGCAACCCUUGAUCUUAGUUGCCAGCAUUCAGUUGGGCACUCUAAGGUGACUGCCGGUGACAAACCGGAGGAAGGUGGGGAUGACGUCAAAUCAUCAUGCCCCUUAUGACCUGGGCUACACACGUGCUACAAUGGAUGGUACAAAGAGCUGCGAACCCGCGAGGGUAAGCCAAUCUCAUAAAGCCAUUCUCAGUUCGGAUUGUAGG
rnacentral:rRNA from 1 species